rnacentral:rRNA from 1 species
UACGUAGGUGGCAAGCGUUGUCCGGAAUCAUUGGGCGUAAAGAGCGCGUAGGCGGUCCGGUAAGUCAGCUGUGAAAGUCAAGGGCUCAACCCUUGAAAGCCGGUUGAUACUGUCGGGCUAGAGUCCGGAAGAGGCGAGUGGAAUUCCCGGUGUAGCGGUGAAAUGCGCAGAUAUCGGGAGGAACACCAAUGGCGAAGGCAGCUCGCUGGGACGGUACUGACGCUGAGGCGCGAAAGCGUGGGGGAGCAAACAGG